GGACACUGUUGUUUUAGCCAUAGGACUGACCCAGAUGUUCACAAAUGGCAUCCAGAAAGAGAUACCUCCAGUUACAUUUAUGAUCCUAAGAAAAUUGUGCAAAUAUAUCACUUCUGUUUCUUAUGGAAAUAUUUGUGCUACAAUGAGCCUGUGAUCAUGAUACUUCUGAAAGAGUGAUGUGAUACCCAAUCAGGUAGCCGUUUGAAGGUACUAACUUUCUACAGAGAUUUGGAUCUCAUCUGGUCAAAUGCUGUAAAAACCCAAACCACUGGUUACCUAACUGGAAAACCUCCCCAAG